CAGCAGCCGCGGUAAUACAGAGGGUGCGAGCGUUAAUUGGAUUUACUGGGCGUAAAGCGUGCGUAGGCGGCUUUUUAAGUCGGAUGUGAAAUCCCUGAGCUUAACUUAGGAAUUGCAUUCGAUACUGGGAAGCUAGAGUAUGGGAGAGGAUGGUAGAAUUCCAGGUGUAGCGGUGAAAUGCGUAGAGAUCUGGAGGAAUACCGAUGGCGAAGGCAGCCAUCUGGCCUAAUACUGACGCUGAGGUACGAAAGCAUGGGGAGCAAACAGGAUUAGAUACCCCUGUAGUCCCUGUCUCUUAUAC
rnacentral:rRNA from 1 species